AUUGAACGCUGGCGGCGGGCCUAACACAUGCAAGUCGAGCGGAAGGACGGUGCUUGCUCCUGGCUUCAGUGGCGGACGGGUGAGUAAUGCCUAGGAACAUGGCCGGUCGCUGGGGAUAACGUCUGGACAAGGGGGCCAAUACCCCAAACGUCCUGAGGGAGAAAGUGGGGGUUCAUGGGAUCUCUCGGUAUUAGAUGAGCCUAGGACUUAUUAGCUAGUUGGUGGGGUAAAGGCCUAACAAGGCGACGAUCCGAAACUGCUCUGAGAGGGUGAACGGGCACACUGGAACUGAGACACGGUCCAGGCUCCUACGGGAGGCAGCAGUGGGGAAUAUUGGACAAUGGGCGAAAGCCUGAUCCAGCCAUGCCGCGUGUGUGAAGAAGGUCUUCGGAUUGUAAAGCACUUUUAGUGGGGAAGAAGAGCAGUAAGUUAAUACAUUGCUGUUUUGACGGUACCUACAGAAUAAGCACCGGCUAACUUCGUG
rnacentral:rRNA from 1 species